rnacentral:rRNA from 1 species
GAUGAACGCUGGCGGCGUGCCUAAUACAUGCGAGUCGAGCGAACGGACGAGAAGCUUGCUUCUCUGAUGUUAGCGGCGGACGGGUGAGUAACACGUGGAUAACCUACCUAUAAGACUGGGAUAACUUCGGGAAACCGGAGCUAAUACCGGAUGAUAUUUUGAACCGCAUGGUUCAAAAGUGAAAGACGGUCUUGCUGUCACUUAUAGAUGGAUCCGCGCUGCAUUAGCUAGUUGGUAAGGUAACGGCUUACCAAGGCAACGAUGCAUAGCCGAUCUGAGAGGGUGAUCGGCCACACUGGAACUGAGACACGGUCCAGACUCCUACGGGAGGCAGCAGUAGGGAAUCUUCCGCAAUGGGCGAAAGCCUGACGGAGCAACGCCGCGUGAGUGAUGAAGGUCUUCGGAUCGUAAAACUCUGUUAUUAGGGAAGAACAUAUGUGUAAGUAACUGUGCACAUCUUGACGGUACCUAAUCAGAAAGCCACGGCUAACUACGUG